rnacentral:rRNA from 1 species
AACGAACGCUGGCGGCAUGCCUAACACAUGCAAGUCGAACGAAGGCUUCGGCCUUAGUGGCGCACGGGUGCGUAACGCGUGGGAAUCUGCCCUUUGGUUCGGAAUAACAGCUGGAAACGGCUGCUAAUACCGGAUGAUGACGAAAGUCCAAAGAUUUAUCGCCAGAGGAUGAGCCCGCGUUGGAUUAGGUAGUUGGUGGGGUAAAGGCCUACCAAGCCGACGAUCCAUAGCUGGUCUGAGAGGAUGAUCAGCCACACUGGGACUGAGACACGGCCCAGACUCCUACGGGAGGCAGCAGUUGGGAAUAUUGGACAAUGGGCGAAAGCCUGAUCCAGCAAUGCCGCGUGAGUGAUGAAGGCCCUAGGGUUGUAAAGCUCUUUUACCCGGGAAGAUAAUGACUGUACCGGGAGAAUAAGCCCCGGCUAACUCCGUG